CAUUUUUAUAGAUUUUUAAAAGACAUUGUAAAAAUCUGUAAUGAGAUAGAGGACGAGAAACACUUCUUUCUCAAAUGUCCCAAAUAUACCCUUUAUAGAAAACAAUAUUUCGACUCCAUACAAAUCAAUUCUGAGUGGAAAGAUAAUGCUGAAGAAGACAGGCUAAAAGUUAAACUAUUACUAAACCCCAAAUCUCACAGUCAAAUCAAAAAUACAGUCUCCUUUAUAUGACAUCAUUGGAACUGAGGAC
rnacentral:lncRNA from 1 species